GCUGUGGUGGUUCAAUGAUAGAAUUCUCACCUUCCAUGCAGGAGACCUGGGUUCGAUUCCCAGCCAAUGCA
rnacentral:tRNA from 1 species